AUUGAACGCUAGCGGGAUGCUUUACACAUGCAAGUCGAACGAGUGGCGGACGUGUGAGUAAUAUAUCGGAACGUGCCCAGUAGCGGGGGAUAACUACUCGACAGAGUGUCUAAUACCGCAUACUCUUGGAGCGGCCGAUAUCGUAUUAGCUAGUUGGUGGGGUAAAGGCUCACCAAGGCAACGAUCCGUAGCUGGUUUGAGAGGAAGACCAGCCACACUGGGACUGAGACACGGCCCAGACUCCUACGGGAGGCAGCAGUGGGGAAUAUUGCACAAUGGGGGAAAGCCUGAUGCAGCCAUCCCGCGUGUAUGAGAAGGCCUUCGGGUUGUAAAGUACUUUUGGCAGGGAAGCGGUAUCUGCAGAAUAAGCACCGGCUAACUACGUGCCAGCAGCCGCGGUAAUAC
rnacentral:rRNA from 1 species